GAUGAACGCUAGCGAUAGGCCUAACACAUGCAAGUCGAGGGGCAGCACAAGGAGCAAUCUGAGGUGGCGACCGGCGCACGGGUGAGUAACACGUAUGCAACCUACCUGUAAGCGGGGAAUAACCCGUUGAAAGACGGACUAAUACCGCAUAAUACUGGAGAUCUGCAUGGAUAUUCAGUUAAACAUUUAUGGCUUACAGAUGGGCAUGCGCAUGAUUAGAUAGUUGGAGAGGUAACGGCUCCCCAAGUCAACGAUCAUUAGGGGUUCUGAGAGGAAGGUCCCCCACACUGGUACUGAGACACGGACCAGACUCCUACGGGAGGCAGCAGUGAGGAAUAUUGGUCAAUGGACGCAAGUCUGAACCAGCCACGUCGCGUGAAGGAAGACGGCCCUACGGGUUGUAAACUUCUUUUAUACGGGAAUAAAGUGCCCCACGCGUGGGGUUUUGCAUGUACCGUAUGAAUAAGGAUCGGCUAACUCCGUGCCAGCAGCCGAC
rnacentral:rRNA from 1 species